UUGAACGAAGGCUACAAUUCAUUUAAGUAUGUUGAUAAUGAACUAAAUCAAGAAAGUACUAUAUUCACUUAUUAAGAAACAUAGACACAGUUUUUCUCUUGCCCCAAGCUGUGUAUGCUUAAACUUUAACUUUUUACAGAUGAAAAGCAAAGGGAAGAACAUUCAAAUUUGAGUUGCUGAUAAUUUGAAAUUAUUGGAUCAUUUAUGUCCUUGAGGCUUUAGUUGACAAACGGUUAAACUGAGAGGCUUCAACUUGUAGUGGCACUCUGCUUUGCUUGGAUUCUUAUGCCCUUUUGAACUCUUAGAAGGUCGAGCAACUUUUUAUAUCAAUGGCUCCUCCUUCCCCAAGAAUUAAUCAAAUAGGGAGGGUGAACCAAAAUGAACGGUUGAGUUAAUAUCAAGUAGAGUGGUUAAAAAAUUAGGCCAAAACAGAAUGCUCCCAUGGCAUCUAAGAUAUAAUUGUAAAUAUGGCCCUUAUGCUCUCUUCUGCUCUACAUUUCAAGGGCUGCAAAAGGUUCUUCAAAGGUUCUGAACAGCUUCUUGGGCAGCUUUGACAGCUUGAUUAUUCAUACCAAUAAUGCAUCCUGAUUUCUUCAUCUACUAGACUUCUGAUCUUCAACCCACCUGUAUAUCUCAUUAGCUCGAUCCUUUAAAUAAAAAACCAAAUGCAACAUAAGAGGAUUAAAAUAUUGGUGUCUACUCCAAUGAAGAUUUAAUGAUUGUCAUCAUGUGAAGAUACAUCAUUUUGACCAUUAGAUUAUAGAUUGUAGGACUUGAUUUUUAUUUGAAGUAAAAGUAUUACUUUUAUUUAAAGUGUUGCUAAACAAGUAAGUUACACUUUUUAAACAAGGAUCAUCAUGAAAAGAUAUUUUUGGCAUCUUCAUGGGAGUAGUUGCCUAAAAUAUUUAUUAACUUAACACAGAGCUUGAAACCUGAGGUUCUUGACAAACAAAACAUAAACAAUUAAAUACGACUAUCAUGGUAAAAAUGACACAUGAAAUAACACACUACUCACAGAAUGUGUUUUUCAACGUUAAAUAUGAAUUAUACAUGCAAAGAAAGGCAUAAUACAGAGAUUUAGUAAUAAUCCAGAGUUCAGAAAAGCAUAAUCAUCCAAGAAACCAGGUGUUUUAGAUGGAGAAUUUCUCAAACUAUGGUUCAGCCUUUGGGUUUCAGCAUUGUGAAGUUGCUUCCUAAUAAAUAAUGCUGCUUUUUCAGAGCAAGAAUGUUUUUUGGUAUGUUUCUAAUUGCUUACACAAACUACAUUAGCCAAUUCUACUUUUACUUCUAUAUCCAUCAUCUAUAAAAAAACCCGAUUAUGAAACCUCUAAAUUUACACAUUACUUAAAAAUCCAUUGGAUGAUUAAAAUUACCAGCAGAAUGCACAGAUGAUAUUUAUAUGUUGUUGUUAUCUGAGAAGCAGAUGAAUAAGAAUCUUUAUCCGUAACUCCCAAACAAGCCCCAGCUGAAAGAUCUCUAGAAAUAACACACCAAGACCAUCAAACCUUAAAGCAGAAAUUGAUAAAUUAAAACCAAGUUAUGUAGAGGAAAUGCAACAUACCAAGAGGAAUUGUAGUCAAGGUUCAAUCACUAACAAAUUCAAGGUUCAAUCACUAAC
rnacentral:lncRNA from 1 species